rnacentral:rRNA from 1 species
GAUGAACGCUGGCGGCGUGCCUAAUACAUGCAAGUCGAGCGAACAGACGAGGAGCUUGCUCCUUUGACGUUAGCGGCGGACGGGUGAGUAACACGUGGAUAACCUACCUAUAGACUGGGAUAACUUCGGGAAACCGGAGCUAAUACCGGAUAACAUGUUGAACCGCAUGGUUCAACAGUGAAAGACGGUCUUGCUGUCACUUAUAGAUGGAUCCGCGCCGCAUUAGCUAGUUGGUAAGGUAACGGCUUACCAAGGCAACGAUGCGUAGCCGACCUGAGAGGGUGAUCGGCCACACUGGAACUGAGACACGGUCCAGACUCCUACGGGAGGCAGCAGUAGGGAAUCUUCCGCAAUGGGCGAAAGCCUGACGGAGCAACGCCGCGUGAGUGAAGAAGGUCUUCGGAUCGUAAAACUCUGUUAUUAGGGAAGAACAAAUGUGUAAGUAACUAUGCACGUCUUGACGGUACCUAAUCAGAAAGCCACGGCUAACUACGUG